rnacentral:rRNA from 1 species
UUUUUAUGGAGGGUUUGAUCCUGGCUCAGGACGAACGCUGGCGGCGUGCUUAACACAUGCAAGUCGAACGGUAAGGCUCCAGCUUGCUGGGGUACACGAGUGGCGAACGGGUGAGUAACACGUGGGUGACCUGCCCUGCACUUCGGGAUAAGCCUGGGAAACUGGGUCUAAUACCGGAUAGGACCACAUUCUAGGGGUGUGGUGGAAAGUUUUUUCGGUGUGGGAUGGGCCCGCGGCCUAUCAGCUUGUUGGUGGGGUAAUGGCCUACCAAGGCGUCGACGGGUAGCCGGCCUGAGAGGGUGGACGGCCACAUUGGGACUGAGACACGGCCCAGACUCCUACGGGAGGCAGCAGUGGGGAAUAUUGCACAAUGGGCGAAAGCCUGAUGCAGCGACGCCGCGUGGGGGAUGACGGCCUUCGGGUUGUAAACUCCUUUCACCAUCGACGAAGGGUUUCUGACGGUAGAUGGAGAAGAAGCACCGGCUAACUACGUGCCAGCAGCCGCGGUAAUACGUAGGGUGCGAGCGUUGUCCGGAAUUACUGGGCGUAAAGAGCUCGUAGGUGGUUUGUCGCGUCGUCUGUGAAAUUCCGGGGCUUAACUCCGGGCGUGCAGGCGAUACGGGCAUAACUUGAGUACUGUAGGGGAGACUGGAAUUCCUGGUGUAGCGGUGAAAUGCGCAGAUAUCAGGAGGAACACCGGUGGCGAAGGCGGGUCUCUGGGCAGUAACUGACGCUGAGGAGCGAAAGCAUGGGGAGCGAACAGGAUUAGAUACCCUGGUAGUCCAUGCCGUAAACGGUGGGCGCUAGGUGUGGGUUUCCUUCCACGGGAUCCGUGCCGUAGCUAACGCAUUAAGCGCCCCGCCUGGGGAGUACGGCCGCAAGGCUAAAACUCAAAGGAAUUGACGGGGGCCCGCACAAGCGGCGGAGCAUGUGGAUUAAUUCGAUGCAACGCGAAGAACCUUACCUGGGCUUGACAUAUACAGGAUCGCCGCAGAGAUGUGGUUUCCCUUGUGGCUUGUAUACAGGUGGUGCAUGGUUGUCGUCAGCUCGUGUCGUGAGAUGUUGGGUUAAGUCCCGCAACGAGCGCAACCCUUGUCUUAUGUUGCCAGCACGUUGUGGUGGGGACUCGUAAGAGACUGCCGGGGUCAACUCGGAGGAAGGUGGGGAUGACGUCAAAUCAUCAUGCCCCUUAUGUCCAGGGCUUCACACAUGCUACAAUGGUCGGUACAGUGGGUUGCGAGCCUGUGAGGGUGAGCUAAUCCCUUAAAGCCGGUCUCAGUUCGGAUCGGGGUCUGCAACUCGACCCCGUGAAGUCGGAGUCGCUAGUAAUCGCAGAUCAGCAAUGCUGCGGUGAAUACGUUCCCGGGCCUUGUACACACCGCCCGUCACGUCAUGAAAGUCGGUAACACCCGAAGCCAGUGGCCUAACUUUUGAGGGAGCUGUCGAAGGUGGGAUUGGCGAUUGGGACGAAGUCGUAACAAGGUAGCCGUACCGGAAGGUGCGGCUGGAUCACCUCCUUUCUAA